UGGGGAAUAUUGCGCAAUGGGGGGAACCCUGACGCAGCCAUGCCGCGUGAAUGAAGAAGGCCUUCGGGUUGUAAAGUUCUUUCGGUAUUGAGGAAGGUUGAUGUGUUAAUAGCACAUCAAAUUGACGUUAAAUACAGAAGAAGCACCGGCUAACUCCGUGCCAGCAGCCGCGGUAAUACGGAGGGUGCGAGCGUUAAUCGGAAUAACUGGGCGUAAAGGGCACGCAGGCGGUUAUUUAAGUGAGGUGUGAAAGCCCUGGGCUUAACCUAGGAAUUGCAUUUCAGACUGGGUAACUAGAGUACUUUAGGGAGGGGUAGAAUUCCACGUGUAGCGGUGAAAUGCGUAGAGAUGUGGAGGAAUACCGAAGGCGAAGGCAGCCCCUUGGGAAUGUACUGACGCUCAUGUGCGAAAGCGUGGGGAGCAAACAGGAUUAGAUACCCUGGUAGUCCACGCUGUAAACGCUGUCGAUUUGGGGGUUGGGGUUUAACUCUGACGCCCGUAGCUAACGUGAUAAAUCGACCGCCUGGGGAGUACGGCCGCAAGGUUA
rnacentral:rRNA from 1 species